rnacentral:rRNA from 1 species
CCUACGGGUGGCAGCAGUGAGGAAUAUUGGUCAAUGGACGAGAGUCUGAACCAGCCAAGUAGCGUGAAGGAUGACUGCCCUAUGGGUUGUAAACUUCUUUUAUAAAGGAAUAAAACGAGGCACGUGUGCCUUUGUGCAUGUACUUUAUGAAUAAGGAUCGGCUAACUCCGUGACAGCAGACGCGGUAAUACGGAGGAUCCGAGCGUUAUCCGGAUUUAUUGGGUUUAAAGGGAGCGUAGAUGGGUUGUUAAGUCAGUUGUGAAAUUUUGCGGCUCAACCGUAAAAUUGCAAUUGAUACUGGCUGUCUUGAGUACAGUUGAGGUAGGCGGAAUUCGUGGUGUAGCGGUGAAAUGCUUAGAUAUCACGAAGAACCCCGAUUGCGAAGGCAGCUUACUAAACUGUGACUGACAUUGAUGCUCGAAAGUGUGGGUAUCAAACAGGAUUAGAUACCCCAGUAGUC